UACGUAGGUGUCAAGCGUUGUCCGGAUUUAUUGGGCGUAAAGCGCCCGCAGGCGGCUUGCCAAGUUCGAUGUGAAAUCUCCCGGCUCAACUGGGAGGGUGCAUCGAAAACUGGCAGGCUUGAGGCAGGGAGAGGGAUGUGGAAUUCCAGGUGUAGUGGUGAAAUGCGUAGAUAUCCGGAGGAACACCAGUGGCGAAGGCGGCAUCCUGGCCCUGUCCUGACGCUCAGGGGCGAAAGCGUGGGGAGCAAACCGG
rnacentral:rRNA from 1 species